GCCUGAGUAGCUCAGUUGGUUGAGCAUCUGACUUUGGAUCAUGGUUCGUGGGUUCAAGCCCCACAUCAGGCU